rnacentral:rRNA from 1 species
GAGUUUGAUCUUGGCUCAGAUUGAACGCUGGCGGCAGGCCUAACACAUGCAAGUCGAGCGGAUGAAGGGAGCUUGCUCCUGGAUUCAGCGGCGGACGGGUGAGUAAUGCCUAGGAAUCUGCUUGGUAGUGGGGAUAACGUCCGGAAACGGGCGCUAAUACCGCAUACGUCCUGAGGGAGAAAGUGGGGGAUCUUCGGACCUCACGCUAUCAGAUGAGCCUAGGUCGGAUUAGCUAGUUGGUGGGGUAAAGGCCUACCAAGGCGACGAUCCGUAACUGGUCUGAGAGGAUGAUCAGUCACACUGGAACUGAGACACGGUCCAGACUCCUACGGGAGGCAGCAGUGGGGAAUAUUGGACAAUGGGCGAAAGCCUGAUCCAGCCAUGCCGCGUGUGUGAAGAAGGUCUUCGGAUUGUAAAGCACUUUAAGUUGGGAGGAAGGGCAGUAAGUUAAUACCUUGCUGUUUUGACGUUACCAACAGAAUAAGCACCGGCUAACUUCGUGCCAGCCGCCGCAGU